rnacentral:rRNA from 1 species
UACGGGAGGCAGCAGUGGGGAAUAUUGCACAAUGGGCGCAAGCCUGAUGCAGCCAUGCCGCGUGUAUGAAGAAGGCCUUCGGGUUGUAAAGUACUUUCAGUCGUGAGGAAGGUGUUAAGGUUAAUAACCUUAGCAAUUGACGUUAGCGACAGAAGAAGCACCGGCUAACUCCGUGCCAGCAGCCGCGGUAAUACGGAGGGUGCGAGCGUUAAUCGGAAUUACUGGGCGUAAAGGGCACGCAGGCGGUUAAUUAAGUUGGAUGUGAAAUCCCCGGGCUUAACCUGGGAAUGGCAUUCAAGACUGGUUAGCUAGAGUCUUGUAGAGGGGGUAGAAUUCCAUGUGUAGCGGUGAAAUGCGUAGAGAUGUGGAGGAAUACCGGUGGGCGAAGGCGGCCCCUGGGACAAAGACUGACGCUCAUGUGCGAAAGCGUGGGGAGCAAACAGGGAUAGAUACC